CCUAACACAUGCAAGUCGAACGGUAACAGGAAGAAGCUUGCUUCUUUGCUGACGAGUGGCGGACGGGUGAGUAAUGUCUGGGAAACUGCCUGAUGGAGGGGGAUAACUACUGGAAACGGUAGCUAAUACCGCAUAACGUCACAAGACCAAAGAGGGGGACCUUCGGGCCUCUUGCCAUCGGAUGUGCCCAGAUGGGAUUAGCUAGUAGGUGGGGUAACGGCUCACCUAGGCGACGAUCCCUAGCUGGUCUGAGAGGAUGACCAGCCACACUGGAACUGAGACACGGUCCAGACUCCUACGGGAGGCAGCAGUGGGGAAUAUUGCACAAUGGGCGCAAGCCUGAUGCAGCCAUGCCGCGUGUAUGAAGAAGGCCUUCGGGUUGUAAAGUACUUUCAGCGGGGAGGAAGGGAGUAAAGUUAAUACCUUUGCUCAUUGACGUUACCCGCAGAAGAAGCACCGGCUAACUCCGUGCCAGCAGCCGCGGUAAUACGGAGGGUGCAAGCGUUAAUCGGAAUUACUGGGCGUAAAGCGCACGCAGGCGGUUUGUUAAGUCAGAUGUGAAAUCCCCGGGCUCAACCUGGGAACUGCAUCUGAUACUGGCAAGCUUGAGUCUCGUAGAGGGGGGUAGAAUUCCAGGUGUAGCGGUGAAAUGCGUAGAGAUCUGGAGGAAUACCGGUGGCGAAGGCG
rnacentral:rRNA from 1 species